UACGGGGGGGCAAGCGUUGUUCGGAAUUACUGGGCGUAAAGGGCGCGUAGGCGGCCACCGCAAGUCGACUGUGAAAUCUCCGGGCUUAACCCGGAAAGGUCAGCCGAUACUGCGGGGCAGAGUACAGAAGGGGCAACUGGAAUUCGUCGGUGUAGCGGUGAAAUGCGUAGAUAUCGAGAGGAACACCUGCGGCGAAGGCGGGUUGCUGGGCUGAUGACUGACGCUGAGACGCGAAAGCGUGGGUAGCAAACAGG
rnacentral:rRNA from 1 species